rnacentral:tRNA from 1 species
GGGAAGAUGGCUCAGUGGUAGAGCGCUAGCCUUGCAUGCCUGAGGCCCUGGGUUCAAUUCCUCAGUACCA